UACAGAGGUGGCAAGCGUUGUUCGGAAUCACUGGGCGUAAAGGGCGCGUAGGUGGCGGGCCAAGUCCAUGGUGAAAGCUCGAUGCUCAACAUCGAGUCGGCCACGGAUACUGGUUUGCUGGAGCACUGUAGAGGCAGAUGGAAUUCCGGGUGUAGCGGUGGAAUGCGUAGAGAUCCGGAAGAACACCGGUGGCGAAGGCGGUCUGCUGGGCAGUUGCUGACACUGAGGCGCGACAGCGUGGGGAGCAAACAGG
rnacentral:rRNA from 1 species